rnacentral:rRNA from 1 species
CAGCAGUAGGGAAUCUUCCACAAUGGGCGAAAGCCUGAUGGAGCAACGCCGCGUGCAGGAUGAAUGCCUUCGGGUUGUAAACUGCUUUUCUUUGUGACGAUUAUGACGGUAGCAGAGGAAUAAGGAUCGGCUAACUCCGUGCCAGCAGCCGCGGUCAUACGGAGGAUCCAAGCGUUAUCCGGAAUUACUGGGCGUAAAGAGUUGCGUAGGUGGCAGAGUAAGCAGAUAGUGAAAGCGUGUGGCUCAACCAUACAUCCAUUAUCUGAACUGCUCAGCUAGAAGGCGAGAGAGGUAGAUGGAAUUCCCAGUGUAGGAGUGAAAUCCGUAGAUAUUGGGAGGAACACCGAUGGCGUAGGCAGUCUACUGGCUCGUCCUUGACACUAAGGCACGAAAGCGUGGGGAGUGAACCGGAUUAGAUACCCGGGUAAUCCACGCCGUAAACUAUGGAUGCUAGCUGUUAGGAGUACCGACCCUUCUAGU